GAACAGCUUCUACCCCCAAGCCAUAAGACCGCUAAAUACGGGUUCAAGGACUAAGAGGCAGACUGAGGCCGAGGGCCAGUGCAGGAACGGCUGUCUCUCCCUCGUAGGAGAGAUGAGUGGACUCUCCGGAAUGCCUGGGCCUCCUACCGGUUGGAGCUUAAGGAUUAAGAGGCAGAAGAAAUUCAGGAGAGAAUGCAAGAAAAACCUGGAAAUGUGUCGCUCCCGCCUAGGAUCCUUGACACCCAUGAGUGAUGCUGGGCGCAGUUGGGUAAAACACCACCAAACACCAACCAAAGA